CACAAAACAUCAAGCAUGACCUUCAUCAUCAGCUUCAUCUGGACACUUUUAUUCUCUAUACAAGGGUGUAAAUCACAGAUCACAGUAACUCAAAGUCCUUCAGUGAAAACUGCUGCACCAGAUGAAUCUGUUACUCUGAACUGUAGAUUCAGUUCACCUCCAGCCUGUAGCCCACCCUGUGUGUCCUGGUACUUACAGAAACCUGGAGAAGCUCCUAAACUCCUGAUAUAUCUGACCAACAGGCUUCAGUCUGGAACUCCAUCUAGAUUCAGUGGCAGUGGAUCAAACACAGAUUUCACUCUGGGCAUCAGUGGAGUCAAGAGUGAAGAUGCAGGACAUUAUUACUGUCAGAGUUAUCACAGUGGUGGAGUGUUCACACAGUGAUAAAGAGUCGUACAAAAACCUCCAUCAGUCAGACUGACACUGAUACACUUGACUGAUUCUGCUGCUGCACACACACUAUUACACGCUAAACAUUAAAGCAGCACAGCAAUUCUAACAUUGUUUAACAUGCUUUACACAAUACAUAUUGUUUAAACAGUUUUUCAGAGAAUUAUUGCCUCAGUGUCUUAAAGUCCCAGUGAGCAGCCAAAGGCAACUGACAAGAUAAAAAACCUCAGAUGUUUAAGAAGAGUAAAAACCUUGAUAGGAGCUAAACACAGUGAAGGAAAAGUGUUUACCACAAGAGUAUCAUGUGUUCAUUAAAUAUGUUAUUCAGUGUAUUAAUUGUCAGUGGAAACUGAUUUGCUUCAUUCCAGAGAAUAAAGUGAGAAACAGUGAAACUGAAACUCAGAUUUGCAUCAUCAGGAUGAGAGAUUCUGUUCCUCUCACAACACAGCAGAUGUUCUCACACACUCAUGAGUUUCAUGUCUCUGUCACACCACAAACAUCAAA